GGACUAACCCGCCAAACUGGUUGCGAGGCCAGGACGGAAAGCCACGGAUCUCACGAAGACCGCCGGGUUGCGUAC
rnacentral:ncRNA from 1 species